GGCUCGGUAGCUUAGUUGGUAAAGCGCUCGUCUAGCAUACAACAGGACUCUCAGGUUCAAAUCCCAGCCGAGCAC
rnacentral:tRNA from 1 species